rnacentral:rRNA from 1 species
GACGAACGCUGGCGGCGUGCCUAAUACAUGCAAGUAGAACGCUGAAGGAGGAGCUUGCUCUUCUGGAUGAGUUGCGAACGGGUGAGUAACGCGUAGGUAACCUGCCUGGUAGCGGGGGAUAACUAUUGGAAACGAUAGCUAAUACCGCAUAACAGUAGAUGUUGCAUGACAUUUACUUAAAAGGUGCAAUUGCAUCACUACCAGAUGGACCUGCGUUGUAUUAGCUAGUUGGUGGGGUAACGGCUCACCAAGGCGACGAUACAUAGCCGACCUGAGAGGGUGAUCGGCCACACUGGGACUGAGACGCGGCCCAGACUCCUACGGGAGGCAGCAGUAGGGAAUCUUCGGCAAUGGACGGAAGUCUGACCGAGCAACGCCGCGUGAGUGAAGAAGGUUUUCGGAUCGUAAAGCUCUGUUGUAAGAGAAGAACGAGUGUGAGAGUGGAAAGUUCACACUGUGACGGUAUCUUACCAGAAAGGGACGGCUAACUACGUG